ACCUGGUUGAUCCUGCCAUAG
rnacentral:rRNA from 1 species